rnacentral:lncRNA from 1 species
UAUUUUUUUUCCGGUUUUCUCGGUUUUCUCGGUUUUUCAGUUUUUUUGCUCACCCCUAAUGGUAUCCAUGUUAGAUAGCCGAGAGAAAAUAAUAUGAUUAACUUUGGCUAACGGUAUCCAUGCUAGGACAACCAAAAGUAAACAUUAAGUAUAGUCUCAAUUGAUAGUAUUCAUCGAUAUGAUGAAAGGAUGAUAAUAAUAUAUUAUUAUCGAUCAGAAAUCAUGUUUUAAGAACCUAUAUUAAUUUAUUAUAAUUAAAGAUGAAUAAUUUAUAUAAUGAAGAAUUCUCUAUAUAUGAAUUCAUAGAUUAUAUUAUAUAUCAUUGGUUGAUUGUUGGACAUAAAUUAAGGUGAAGUAACGAGGACUAUUGUUGUAUGAAGAUGUGAAGUAAUGCAUUCAAGAUAGACCUAGUAAAAAGUGAUUAAUGUGAACUUGCUUCAUUAGAUAUUAAUCUUAAUUGUGACUAUAUGUUUUAUUACUCAAUUGUACCAUAAUUAAUGUUUAUACUCUUACAUCAAAUUUAAUUUGUAAUAGGAUCAUCUCAUAACCAUGAUGUAUAGCAAUCUCAUAGUAUCUAUAUUGUGAAACUGAAUGAUCAUGUAAUAAUCUAUUUAGUAGUAAGAAUGAACGACUCAUAUUUUGUAAAAUUGUAUGAUAUCGAUAUUCGAAUUUAGGAUAUGUAAAUUAUGGUGUUUUGAUAAGCUUUAUAUUUUGAACAUGAUGUAUAUGUACCUCUCCUUCCUAUAAUACUAUUAUAUCUUAUGUGUAUGUAGUCUAUAUGAAUGCUCAGAUAUGUUUGGCUAUUAACAUGAUAAAUGGUAUAAUGAAAUAUACAUUUCUAAGAAGUUAAGUAUAUAAUUUAAGAAUCAUUUGCAUUAAACAUUAUGCUAAAGGACAAUGAUAUGUGUGUGUAUCAAAAAUAUUUGGAAUUUUACUGGCUUUUAUAGUUGGUAUCAGAGCUCCUAGCUUUGAUCCUAGAGAAUCUAAAGUAAAUACUUAUAAGUAUUGCCUAUUUCAGGGUGGUAUGUACUUGGCAAAGAACUCUUGUUGAACCAACCUUUAUAUAAAGGGGAAAUAAAGGCAAGGGUGCUGAUAAAUAGCAAGAGAAAAGUCCUCUAGAUGAUAUUGCUUCUCAUGUACUAGUAGUGUCAUUUCAGUCCAGGCAAUGAGAAUCAGUAGGAGUUUAGAAUGAACAUACUCUGAAAUAAAUGUACCCCCUCCGACGACACCAAUAAGAGUAUCCACGCCUUAUGUUGACCCAGUAUUCCUUGUACACAUAGUCAAGGUAGUAAUAGAAGGUAUGGCCAGUACUACAACUCAUGCAACCCCAACUGUACCGACUACACUAGCAAAUCUAGAAAUUUCUACAAUCACUGAUAAUGUAGCACUACUGGUUCAACUAGUUAAAAGUAUGAGAGAAAUAGGUUGCAAACCUUAUAUGGGGGAGCAGGAUGCAAAAAUAGUUGGAAGAUGACUCGGGAAAGUGGAGAAAACGAUGAUUUAAAUUAAAAUACCUGAAGAUUUAUGGGUAAAUGAUGCUACACAAUUGUUAUCUGAUAGAGCUAUAACAUGGUGGGAAAUAGUCCAGUUAAGAUGUGCUAUAGAAGCAUUGACCUAAAAUGACUUCAAAUUCAAAUUUGAAAAUCAAUUUUACUCCCCGCAAAGUGAAAGAACAAUAAUUCUUAGCCUUAACACAAGGGAAGAUGUUUGUGCUAGAAUAUGAAAGUGAUUUCAUGAUCUCUCAUUAUUCGCCUCACGUUAUGUUUCGACCGAGGAACAUAUGAUAGAAAAACUAAAGGAUGGUUUUUGUCAGGACUUAAGGCAAAUAUUAAUUGCCCUACAAUUCAAGAUGGUGAGAUAGUUAAUCGAAGCAACACAAGCAUUGAAAGUAUGCAUUGGGGAAGGCCAUCAGGGUCAGUAUAGGAUUGUCAAAGAGAAAAGAUAAUGAAUUUUCUGCGAAUAGGCAACCACUCUCGAAAAAAGGUAAAACUGGAUUGUUUAAUCAAUUUAAGAAGAAAAUGGGGUAUCAGUAUGUUCUCACCAACAUACAGGUAGAGGAAUGAUGGGAGGACAGAUACACUCGAGGGUUAACCUUUUAGGGGGAUCAUUAACCAGAAAAAUGUUAUGUACCCUUUUUGUGUACAUUGUGAAUAGAGAGACACCCCAAUUAUUGUUCGGUCUCCCCGAACCAAUGUUUUAUAUGCCUAGGAGAGGGUCAUAGAUGGAGAGCUUAUCAGUAUCUAAGACAAGGAUGUUUUGUUUUAGUGAAAAAGGACACUUCAAAAGAGAGUGCCAUCACAAAAUCUCUGGGCAAUCACAGAAUGUGAAGCAAACAAGUCAGAGUCAUCAACGGUCUAUCAUAAUGAAUAGACCCAUGAAAUCAACACAGUCAAGGGCUAAUUCUAAUCAGGAGCUUGUCAAUAUUUAACUUAUUUAAUGUUUGAAACUUGAUUAUUAUAGUAGUUUAACAUUGGGUAAAGCUUUAAUUUGAGGGGGGAAAAUCAUGCCUCCACCUUAACUAUAGGGUUGGUCAUAUGUGAUGCAUGGAUAGGGAAAAUAGUUUUUAAAAUUUAUUUUUUAAUUGUAUUGUGGAUUAUAUUAAUACUCAAACGAUGAUAAAUAAUGAGGAAGAAUUGAAAGAGAACAAAAGGGGACUCACAAUUUCCUUUAUUGAUCAUGCCAACUAAUAGGCUAUAAAAAGGUGGGGAAAGGAAAGGUAUAUGGAUGAUGUGUGAAAUUAUCAUAGAAAAUGUGUUUGAAUUAAUUUGGGUUUAAUCGACAAAGAAUUUUGAAUAUUGAAAUGAAAAUAUAUAGGUGUAUGUAUGAUUUCGGGAAAUAAAAAUUGAAGAGUGUUAAUUUAAGAAAAGUUGUGUAAUGAUUCAAUGAUUUUGGGGAAAAAGAAAAAUGAUUAAUGAUGAUGAAAUUAUCCUGUGAUGGCAGGGAAUACUACUGCAAGCAUGCCACAGUUUAGAGUAGAAGCUAGGACAUCACGCAAUACAGGUAGGUUCUAACCUAUAGCAUAAUUAUCUAAGGCAUUGUUUAAUUAUGAAAUGCAAAUUUAUUACAAUUUUAUUUGAUAUUGAGAGUAUUUGGUUUAGAGAUAAUGAAAUAAAUAAAUAAAUAAACAAUUGAAGGAGAUCCCGACUUGAUUAGUCAUUCCUGAAAUUAGGAGACUAAUGAUAUCAAUAUAAUUUAUUGAUAUCAGCACUUUUCAAAUUUGAUUAGUCGUUCCCAGAAUUGAAAAACUAAUGAUAUCAAUAUAAUUUAUUGAUAUUGACACUUUCUAAACUUUAUUAGUCCUUCUCGAAAUUAAAAGACUAAUGAUAUCAAUAUAAUUUAUUGAUAUCGGCACCAUCUGAACUUGAUUAGUCGUUUCUAAAAUUAGAAGACUAAUGAUAUCAAUAAAAUUUAUUAAUAUCGGCAUUAAUCGAGAUUUGAUUAGUUGUUCCUAGAAUUGAGAGAAUAAUGAUAUCAAUAUAGUUUAUUGAUAUCAACAUUAAUCAAGAUUCAAUUAGUUGUUCCUGGAAUUGGAAGACUAAUGAUAUUAAUAGAUUUUAUUGAUAUUAGUAUUAAUUGAGAUUUGAUUAGUUGUUUCGAGGAUUGGGAGACUAAUGAUAUUAAUAAAUUUUAUUGAUAUUGGAAUUAAUUGAGAUUUAAUUAGUCAUUUCUGGAAUUGAGAGUUUAAUGAUAUCAAUAGAAUUUAUUGAUAUUGGCAUUAUUCAAGAUUUGACUUGUUGCUUCUGGAAUUCAGAGACUAAUGAUAACCAUGAUAGACAUUGAUAUGCGUAUAUUUUAUAUGGACCAUAUAUAUAUAUAUAUAUAUAUAUAUAUAUAUAUAUAUAUAUAUAUAAAGGAGAAUGGUUAAGGAAGAAUUUAAAUAUAAUUCAGUUGUAUUAAAUUAUUUAAGUGAUUAUUCUUAAUUAACAUAUCAUAUGUUGCAUUCUUUUCAGGGUCAUCACAUUCAUGCUAGGAGUAGAUUACUUCUGCAUCUCUUGAUUAUAUAAGCCAGAUUCAGGAUAUGCAUUUUGAACAAUAAUAUUAUUUUGCUUAGCAUGUAAACAUAUAUGCUCAUAUUUUAUGGAUUGUAAUUAUCUAACCUAAAUGCACUUUAACACUUAUGUAUGUUGUAUUUAAUAUCAAUUUCUUAAGUAUAUGGAAUUAUUGUACUUUGUAUAUAUAUGGAUAUAGUUGUUAAAUAUAUUUGUAUGGAUGAAGUUGUUUUGAGAAACAUUGAUUGGUGGAGGGAAAUGAUCUACGAUGAUUGAAUCAAGUAGAUGAAAUUGUGUUGAAAUGUGAAACAGUUUUAAUCGAUAACUUUGGACUUUCCAUUAUAGGAGAAACUCUGUCAAAAUUUCAUCAAAAAUUUGAGUGAAAUUUUACAUAUACAUUUGUUUUUUUUAAAAAAAAAUUGCUUGUAAAUCUUCCUGAUAAUAAUUAGGAAUGUUACAUGUAGUGUAUAAGUUAGUAUUUCCCCCAUAUUUGACCAAAAUUCAUGAUGUGUUCUAUAUCGAGAGCUACUACAAAAAGCCGAUGUGGAUCCUUCACGAACACUACCCCAGGUUCCUUUAGAAAUUGAGGAAGAUUUAACUCUGGAAGUAAAGCAAGUAAAGGUGUUAAAUCAAAUUGAAAAGGAACUCAAAAAUAAAAAGAUUUAUAUGAUAAAAGUAUUAUGGAGAAGUUUUAAAAUUGAGGAGAAAACUUGGAAAAGAGAAUUGGAGACGAGAAAUAAGUAUCCCAAAUUAUUUUUAGACUCAGGUACGAGAAUCAAAUUUCGAGAAAAAAAUUUUAUUUAAGGAGGGAAGAAUGCAAAACCCUGUUUAAAAUUUUUUUUUUCUUUUCGAGUUAGUAAAAUAUAAAAUUUUAAUUUUGGAGAUAAAAUAGGUUACAUCACAUUAAGGAAAAUCUCAUGGUGAUUUGAGUAAAUAAAACAAUGUGCAAGAUUCAUAUUUUUUUAGUGUAAAAUCACUAACUAUCCAAUUUUACGAUAUUAAACAUAUCUUUCAAUCCGACUAUUGAAUCAAGUCAAAAUUUUAUGAGUUUUCAGAUUUAAUAUUCUAUCUGGGAUUAACAUUUCGAGAAAAUCCAAGUUUGAAAAGAUUUUGAAAAACAGUGAUGACCAGGUAUACAAUAAUAAAAUAUUAAUUAAGUGGGGACCAAGUUGUGAUUAUGGAACAUUUAGGGCAAUAGUGUAGUAAAGUGAAACGAGGGUGAUUAAAUUGUGAAUGGCUUCUCCUUGAAACGAUUCAUGUCUAGCAACAGUGUGUGAGUAAAACAAAGAGGGUUUCGUCAAUAUAUUUGAUCUUUACCAUAAAUUCACCCAUUUAAACACUACAUAAGAGUGGGUAAAGGAAUAAAAAAAAAAGGUGUAUGAGGGAUUUGAGCUGAUAAUUGAAGUUUUCUUGGAGUCUUGAAGGGCAAAAAGUGAUGGGUUGGGAGCACAAAAAUAAAGGAAGAAGAAAACUUGUUUUCAUGAUCUUUUUUCUUCAAAUCUCUUGUGUUUAAGAGGUGAGAAACCUUGAUUCAAACUUGGUUUGAGUUUAUUUUGUGAAAUGAUACAUUUUAGGUGAAAUAUGCAUGAUGAAAAUUUGGAAUUUCUUGAAUUAUUAUUUAAAUUGAUGGUAUUGUGUUUGAAUGAUAUUCAUAAGAAUAAAAUAUGAUUAGAUAAUGAUUAAAUUGGAAGAAUUGAAGAGAAAAUCUACCCCCUUCCAUCAUUGUGAUGGGUUCGAACAAGAAAAAAAAAUAAGAGUGGGAUUAAUUGAUGAAAUUGUUAUGUAAUUUGCAUGGAAUUAUGUUUUAUGAGUAUAUAAGAUAUGGGUGAUACAUGAAUAUGGAUAAUUAAAAAGAAAAAAUUCAUCCUCUUAUUAUUAAGGAAUUCGGCCAAACACUAAUGUUUAAAGGAUGAAGUUUUUAAUUGUCUUAAUAGGUGGAUUAUGUUUAAAUGGGUAAUAUAAAUGUAUAAGGGAUGAAUAAAAUAUGGGUGUGUACACACACACACACACAUCUUUCUAUGAUUUUAGAGUGUGUGUGUGUAGAUGUUAUUCUUUAAGGGAUGAAGUUUUUAAUUGUCUUAAUAGGUGAAUUAUGUUUAAAUGGGUAAUAUAAAUGUAUAAGGGAUGAAUAAAAUGUGGGUGUGUACACACACACACUAUUUUAGUGUGUGUGUGUGUGUGUGUGUGUGGAUUUUAUUCUGGGGAUUUAGGAAUGGAUCUAACAAUUAUAAUAAAAUGAUAGUGAUAAAUUUAUGUUAUGUUAAGAGGAGAUACCACCGCUGCCAGAUUACUGGCCGGAGUAGAAGCAGGGACUUCAUAUGUAGCAGGUUGGUGUUAGAUACCUUAAUCACUUUUAAUUAAUUAAUAAAAGUUAAGCAUGCAACUAAAAAUUUGUUUAAAUUAUAAUUUAUGUUGUCAAAUAAUAUGAUAAGCUAAUUAUCUUGGUUUUGAGACUAGCACUUGGUUUGGACAUGUUGAGCUAGUUACUCUGGUUUAAGGACCGGUGCCCGGAUUAGGGCAAUGUGGUUGAGUACCCUGAAUAAAAGGUCUAUACCCGGUUUUGAGAUAAGGUAAAACUUUAUCAUGGUAAUGAGUUAGAUGUUCAAGGGAGGACAAAAAAUUAAAUAACGUAGAAUUUGUGAAAUCUCUCUAGGGUUGACUUAAUUAAGUUGAAUUAAAGAAAUUUACUUAACACAUUUUAUACAUUAUGUUAUAUCCAAGUGUAGUUAAUUAUGUGUGAAUAAUUUUUCAGAUACCUCAUAAGAGCAUGUUGAUCCAUAACUCCUCAAGAGUUGUAUUUUUGUUUAGAAAUUGCAAUAUAACUAAUUAUUAGGUCAUAUUGAAAUGAAAAUAUUUUUUUUGGGCUUGUACUAAAAUGUUAGAUGAUAUUUCAAAUGAUAUAAGUUAAUUAACUUGAAAGUUUGGAUGAUUUAAUUUAUAUUUUGCAAUAUGUUCACUUUAAAACCUUAAAUAGAAUACGUCAUGUACUGAUUUGCCAUUAAAAUUCAUGUUAGGUUAUAAUUUAUAAAUAUUUACAAAAUAUCUUUUUAAAGAUAUUUAUAAAAAAUGUUUGAAUAAAUCAUAAAAUAAAAAUGUUAAAGUUCAAUUAUUGCAAGACAUUGAGAAUGUCAGAGUCCCAAAUGGUGGGAUACUAAAUGGGUGAAAGCCCCGGAUGAUGGGAUAAAUGUUGAAAUCUUUAUCUCUAGGUUAUGAAAACUGGUUAAGUUGAUAGCUUGAUAUUGAAAGAUUAGAGAAAAUUCUGCUGAAAUUUUGGCAGAAAAAAAUUCUUGUAUUUUAAAUGUUAAUACAACAUGUAUACAUGGAAUAUUGUGUAAAUAAAUUGAGGUCGUUACAUAUGUGACCAAUGUUCAUUCAUUCCACACUUAUAAUGUAUAUUUUUUCAUCUUUUUAAUGUCUCCACUAUGUAUAUUCUUUCUAUUUUCUUGUUUCUCCUUAUUUUGUGAAGGUUUGUUAGAAUUAUUACCAUCAUAGCUGUCAAAAUUAAUCCGUCUUUGCUCAUGGCCACAUCCACGGACUGUACUACGACCAUGAUCAUGACCACAACCAUAAUUACUAUUAUUUCUCGUAGCAUUCACUCCAAGGAAUGGAGUUGAACCAGUUGUUCGUGAUACAUAUUUUUUUUAUUAUCAAAAGCUCAUUAUUUUGUCCAACCACAAGGAGACAUGAAAUUAGUUCAGAGUAUUUCUUAAAACCUCGUUCUCUAUAUUGCUGCUGCAGAAGCACAUUCGAGGCAUAGAGAGUAUUUUUUGUCUAACACAUCUCAUCCGUGAUAUUAUCUCCAUAUAAUUUUAAUUUGGAACUGAUAUUAAACAUUUCAGAAUUAUAUUCACUUGUCAAUUUAAAAUCAUGCAAUCGUAAAUGUAUUCAAUGCUUUUGGGAGAAUAAGUUUCCUUUAAUAGUCAUAUCUUUCUUUCAAGUUUUUCCAAAGAAUAAGGGAAUCUUUGAUUGUGAGAUACUUAAUUUGCAAUUCCUUGUGAAGAUGAUGACCUUAGAAAAUCAUGAUAUUUGCCUUAUUUUGACUAGAUUUUUUAUUGUCAGCUUUAAUGAUGUCUUCGAGACCCAUGACAUCUUGAUGAAUUUUGAUAUCAAGGACUCAUGAUAAAUAAUUCUUAUCCGUAAUAUGAAGUGUCGUUAACUCAAGUUUAACAAGAUUUGUCAUGAUUACUUCAUGAAAAAUAUUAAGAUUGUUAGAAAUUUAGCUUAAACAUUAUAAUAGAUAUUGAAUAAAUUUGUUAUGAAUUUCAAAAAAGAAAAUGAUUCACUUAAAUAACUAGAAGGAAAAAAAUUAAGUAGAUAAACUAACAUUCCAUUUUUUAUCCAUAAAUCAAAUAUGAUUAUCCGCUUCAAAAUGAAAGUAAGGAGCAAUCAUGCUAAUGAUGUUUUAUAAAACUAUAUCUUUAGAAACAGACAAAAUACUUAAUAAAAAGUAAAUAACAUAAAUAAGAACAAUAAAGAUUGGGAGAACAUAAAUAAGGAGCAAUCAUUCAUAUUUAUAUAGUCUUGUAAAUGUCGUCAUAUACACAUCAUCUCAACAAUGUUUUUAUUUAUGAUCUAAUGUACAUUAAUACUUCUAAGCCCAAGAAUUAUAGAUAUAGAGUUCAAAUAAAUUUAAAGAUGAUGAAUAAACAUGAAGAUUAAAAGAUAAAAGAACAUUAUAAUAUAUGAUGUCAUAAUAAAUAUGAUUAUCAAAUUAGAAAAGAAAGAAAACGAGUGCAGGGACCGAAUCCACUCUAAACCAUAGCUAUUAAACCUAGACCGGGGGUUAACCUGACCAAGGGGCCGAGUCCUGGGUCACACGGAUUGACCCAGAUUGACCCAGGUCAAUAAAAUAAAAAUUUAAGGUUUGAAUAUAAAGUUUUUUUUAUCUUAUAUUAGAAAGAUACUAUUUUAUCUUUUUAAAUUGAAGUAUUUAAAUAAAAAGAUUUUCUUAUCCCAUAUUGAAAAAAACACAACUCUUUUCUUGUUACAUAAAGUAUAUAUGUAUGUAUGUAUGUAUGUAUAAAACAUUCUGUAGUGUUUAUAUAGUGAACUUUGUUGUGGGUUAGUAACUAACAAGAAAAUGAUGGUAGGUUCGCUCGCAUAAGGUUUGGCCAAGAAAGAAGAAAACCUUUGAUUGCUCCCCAUACGUGUGAGGCAAAGUCUAUGCUUUUUAGAUCCUUUAUCUUCAUUGAUAAUUUUGUUUAUAUCUCCAUUAACUAAAACCACUACUUUUUAUUGUUGUCCAUCCCUAGCUAAUGUGGUUAUUUUUUAUUGCUUUCCAUCCCAACUUGAACUACAUUGCUUAUCUGGUAGUGUUCAUUGGCAUGCUAAAACAAACUAUAAAUUUGAUUUUUCAGUUUGUUAAAUGAAAUGCUUGCAUUGAAAAAAAUAUUAUUACAUGUUAAAAUGUGUAUAAGUAAGAAAAUAGGGAGAAAGGUUUAUGCCUUUACAAAAAAAACAUGGACAUGAAAAAAAAAAUUGUCUCUUCCGGGUUUAUUAAGUUACCUGAAUUUUAAGUUGUUUAGACAGUUUUUUCCUGGUUAAUUAUAGGCUUAGCCUCAAAUCCCUGUCAACCUAUCGGACAUAAUCGAGUCCAACAACUAUGCUCUUAGGGCCUGUUUGGGAUUGUGAUAGCGGUUGCAGUUUAAAGUAUUUUUCGCUUAGAAAUACAUCAAAAUAAUAUAUUUUUUUAAUUUUUAAAAAUUAUUUUGAUAUCGGCAUAUCAAAACAAUUUGAAGACAUUAAAAAAAAUCACAAAAAAAUUAAAAUUUAAAAUAAUACGCUUUGCCAUAGUUUUGAAACCCGACCCGAUCAUCGACCCGGUCCAGUGAUCGGGUCAUGAGUCAGAUGGGUUGACCUGGGUCAACCAAAAAAAAACACCUAUAUAAAACACCUAACUAGUUACAAAUUUACAAUGCAACACUUACAUAAACCAAAUUUAAAUUUUAAACCAACAACAUAAAUUUAAUUCAAUAUCCAAAACACAAACCAAAUAUAAAUUCUAAAAUAUUUAAAACAAAAUAUCCAACAACAUAAAUUCUAAAUCAACAACACAUUCACUUUGGUUGAAUGAACACAUUAAGUUCUUCUGUGUCCAUGGGAGCAAAAUUUGGAUUAAAUGUCGAUGGAAUUGAGCCAAUCUCGUCAACACCUAAUAAAUCAUCAGCAUGCUCCUUUGAAACUUCAUCGUCACAAUCAUCUUCAAUCUCAUUAACAUUUAUGACAUUUAUAUUUCAAACACAAUUAACAAAUAAAUAUUAUGUGUUAAACAAUACUUUAUUUUAAAUAAUAUUUAUCACUAAAUAAUCAAUCAUUAAUUACCAUCAUCUAAAGUAUCUUGUAUGGUCAUAGUUGAUAGAGCUUGGUGAAAACUCUCUGCUUCUUCAGUUGUCAAAAUUGACGGGUCAUCUUCCACUACCCAAUUUUCAAUGUCACAAAUUGUCUCAACAUUAAUUGGAUCAUAAUUUCAUCCUUUCCAAUAAUUCCUAUAUAUUAAAAGUGAAGGUUAACAUAAUAUAAGUAUUAAUAAUGCUACUAAAUAAGAUAAAAUAAUAUUUAAGGAAUUAGAGAAAAGAAAAAUAUUUUUGUUUCAAUCUUAGAUUGCAGUGGACGUAAACAAGGUCGUUAAGCCUUUGGUGCUCCAAUCUAUUUCUCUUCUUGGAGUGAAUAUGUUCAAACAUACUCCAAUUUCUCUCGUAUCCCGAAGAACUACAUGUUUGACUUAACACUCAUAUAACCAACUGUUGUAGAUUUGGAGCACUAGUUCCAUAUGUCAUUCACCAUUCAUCUAUACAAAAAUAUAAUAAGUAAGAGUGUAAGACUGUCAAAUAAUAUUUUUAAAUAUAAAAAUUAUAUACCUGGAGGCAUAAGGGUGCGAUUAUUUAUUGAGGACGCUCAACCAAAGUCAUGUUCAGCAUUCCUAAACAACUUCAUCUCACUUGUAAUCUUACUUUGCAAUGAUAGAUUUCCAUGUGCAUACUUCUCAAGAACAUCUAGAAGUCCAGAAAUGGUGCUCAUAUGUUUAUCCAAUAUAUUUGCAUUAUAUUGAAAUCGAGAAUUCAACCAAAAUGCCGCUGCAUAAAGAUUUCUAUAUAGUUGUCCAUCCUACCGAUUAUUGAUAAUGUCUAUGAAAGGUUUCACUCUAGCCUUUCUCUUUUGAAAUCUCCUCAUCAUUUCUUCUUUUGCAUGAUGAAUAGCAUCAUACAAAUAUCCCAUCGAAGGUCUAUCAUUACCAUCAACCAUUCGUAGAACUCGAACUAAAGGUUCACUCAUUCGCACAAUUAUUGCACAUUCUUCCCAAAACAGAGAGUCUAGUACACUCUCAACAAAAUUUUUUCCUUUGCUAUCUUUAGCAUAAGCAGAUGAGACUCAUUCCCUAGAUGUCACCAUAGCUCUCAACUCAUCUUUAUGAACUAAAAUGCUUUGCAAUACAAUGAAAUUUGUAGCAAAACAAGUAGGAGCUGGACUUCCUCCGGUGAACUUCCUCAUCAAAUACAAUGGAUAACAAUGAUUAUAAAUAUAUUUUGUGAUACCAUAAGCAUGCUCAACAACACAACAAACUGACUGCAAUUUACCAAUGUCCUGGAGUAUGAGGUUGAUGCAAUGAACAGCACAAAGAGACCAAAAUAUUGAAAGAAAUUCUUCCAUCAAUAACCUGCCAGCAGCAACAUAAUUUGAAGCAUUAUCAGUCACCAUAUGCACAAUGUUUUCUACCCCAACAUACAAAACAACCUCUCUGAACAACUGAUAUAACAAUCUAGUAGUCUUUGAGACAUCUGAUAUAUCCACAGUUUUCGAAAAAAUUAUUCCUUUAGGACAAUAUACUAAGAAGUUAAUUAAAGUCCUCCUCUUCUGAUCUGUUCAUCCAUCAGCCAUUAAUGUGCAACCAGUCUUUUUCCAAAUCUCUCGAUAACUCUCAACAUAAAUCUUCACUUCAUCAACCGUUUUUGCCAAGUAAUAACCACGAAUAGCAUGUAAAUUUGGUCCUUUAUAACCAGGACCCAUGGCUGUUACAACAUCUAUGGCAUGUUGAUAAUACACAGAGUUAACAGCAUUAAAUGGCACACAUGCAUCAAUCAUCCACUUUGCUAAAGCAAGAUCACACCGUUCAACUGCUUCUUUCCUUUGCCAACAAUUCUGAAGAGACUUUUGAACACCAGGAGUUGUUCUCGGCAUGAAAUAUGUCCUUAAUGUUGCAGAUUUCUUCUGUUUUCCAUAACUUGUAGUCGAUUGUUUUACAGUGCUGGUGCUUUGAAUCUUUUUAUUUUUUGCAACCUUCGGUGGUAACAUAUGUUUUUUAGUAUUGACAUCCUCAUCAUCAUCGUCAUCUUCUAAUUGCCUAAUCAUCAUCUCUUCAUACUCCCUUUGUUGUGCAUUAAACGGAUUAAAAUCUGCUUGCAUUUCUCUAACUCUUUUUUUUUCAGCAUUUCCUUUAAGAUUCAAAAGCAUUUGAUGUCGAACAUCAUGAGGACAUUUGCGACGUUGUUCAACUUCUCCUUUAGCUCCAGCUAAAUGUUGCUUAAAUCGAUUAAUGCCACCACCCGCAAAUACGUUAGCACAAUAUAAACAUAUUAAGGCCAUGUUUAUUUCCUGGAAAGUGGUUUCCGGUUCUAAAUUUUCCUGUGUUUGUUUGCCAUUAGAAAAGUUGGUCAACGAAAAACACUUUUCAGUCAAAGGAAAAUUUGGCUUGGUUUCCAGGAAAGUGUUUUCCUGGAAAAUUUGGGCGGAAAACACUUUCCGGAAGUUGUGAAGAAUUUAGAAAUGUCAUAUUAUUUGUUGAUUAUAUCAAAUUUGGUCCUCAAACUUUUGAUUGCUAUAUAUAUUUUGUUUUGAAUAUUUAUUUUUCAAUUUCAUCUCUUAAAAUUUAAUUUUUAUAUUAAUUUUACUCCUCAUUUUUAUAAUUGUUAUUUGCUUUUCCCUUAUCAUUUUCUUAUUGAAAUUUUUUAUCUAUAAAAUUUGGUCCUCAUUCUUUUGAUUGUUACUUAUUUUAUUUGAAAUAAUUUAUGAAAUAUUAAUUAUUAUAAUUUUAAUUUCUUCAUCUUUCAUUUUUAUUUUAUUUUUUAGAUUUGAUUUCUAUUAUUUUGAUUAUUAUUUAUUUUAUUUGAGAUAAUUUAUGAAAUUAUAUUUUUUUUCAAUUUCAUCCUCAUUUAACUUUUUAAUUUGUAAGAUUUGUUCCUCAUUAUUUUAAUAAACUUGAGAAAAUAAAAACAUUAAUAAGUUAUUUUCCAACUCAUUUUCCAUGACAUAACCAAACACUAGAAAGUGUUUUCCAACUUAUUUUUCAUUACACUACCAAACAUCAGAAAAUAAUUCACUUUCCUGAAAUUCACUAUCCCAGAAUUCACUUUUCAAAAGAAAACUAUUUUCCAGCAAACAAACGGGGCCUAAUUUAGUUUUUUUACAUCCAACACUAAGUUCAGGAGCUUCUCUACAAUGACCCCAUGCCAAAUCUGUUCUUCCUCUACUACCACUUGACAUGGAAAUUGAAGGUUGAGAUGAUUGGGUCGUUGAAGGAUCACUACUUAGAGUACUACCAUCAUGUAAAGACAUUUUAAGGACCUGAUAUAAUUUAUAAGAGGGAAUAUAAUUUCAAGCCAAAUCAUAUACUUUUAUUAUAUAAUGAAUAAAUGACUUCAGUAUUUGUUUUUUAGAUUAUUUUCUUAUCUUGAGAAAAUUUUGUUUCCUAAUGGAACCUUGCAAGGAUACUAGACAGAGGGAAAGUAUUUACGGAAAAAAUCAAACACUGGAUGGCCUAAUAUGAUCGUGAUGAGCCUGAAGGUUAAAUUAAGCCUGAAGGUUAAAUUAUUAGUCAACUAAUAUGAUCCUGAUUCCUGAAGGUUAAAUUAAUAGUUAACUAAAAUCAACUAAAAUGCCAGUAAAUGAUCCUGAUUCCUAAAGGUUACAAAAUUAACUAAGCACAACCGACUUAAGCAGAACAGUAACAAAAUUAACCAAUUUGCAGAAGCAAAAGCAAAAGCAGAACAAACAAACAGGGACAUCAAAUUCAAUCACUCCAGCAGAAGCAAAAACAACUAAUUUGCAGAAGCAGAAGUAAAAGUAGAACGAAUGAACAGUGAAACAAAAUUCACAGUAAAAUAGAAUAACAAGUCAAGAGGUUUCUCAUCAUAUUUGUUCCAUGUCUGAGCAAUAUUCACAGCAAAGUUCAGGUCUUUGACCAUUUGAAGUCGCAGAAAAAUAAAAGAACAUAGAAAGUGAGAUACAUACAUGCGGAGCUUGAUGCAACCAUAUUAUUCGAUAGUUUCACCCACAUUUAACUAGUGUUUUGCCUAUGUUUUAUAUAUAAAAUGUCUUAAUAUUCUUUGUUUUAUGUUUUGAAGGCACUUUUGGAUGAAAGAUGCAAAAAUGAGUAAAUUAGAGAUAAUUGGCAGAUUUGACCUUCAGUCGAUGUUUUGUGCAAAGCGUGAGCUCUAGAGUUUGAAAUGACGUGAUUCCAGUGGCAUUAAAAAGAUAACAUCCAUACCUUUCUGGACAUCUAAGGUAAGAAAAUAAAAUAAGGAAGAGCAUGGAAAUCGCAGCCUUCAAAGUCAAAUCUCGCAAUCUGCCAAUGUUGACCUUUAGCCAUUAGAAAUUCAAUAUCUGGAGCCAUAGAAGUCCAAUUGAUGCAAACUCAAUUUUGUUGGCUUCCUGACUAACAUUCCUAUAAACGCACAAAAUUUCAGUCAUAUGAGGGAGAUAUGAUUUUUCAAAGAUGACAACUGAAUUAUGCCAGCAAACAGGUUUCGUGAAGAAACGAGUCCAAAUUACGUUCUGAAGCAUCUAAAUCGAUAUCCAAGUUUUUAUUUCAGCAAUUUAGCUCCUCUAAGUCAAAGCUUGAAGAUUUCAUACAAGGCUAUUUCUUCUUUUCUAGGAAAAUAGUUAUUGAAGUACUUAAAUGUAAAUAGUCUACUUAAGGGAGGACUAUUUUGUAAAAUAGAGACUAGGGUUUCCUAUGAUAUAAAAAGAAUGAGAGAAGAGAAGGGGAGCAGCCAGCCAAGAGGAGAAAAACACCCCCCUCCUCUAAGAAACUCGAAAUCAUGCAUUUCUCUUUCUUUUUUAUUAGUUGUUCAACAAACAUGCAAGGCUUCAGAUUUCAAGAACUGUGAGAUUUAUUUUACCUUUUCUUUUCAGUUUAUAUGAUGAAUAUGUUUGUUCUUCUAUGCUUAUUUUUCCUAUGAUUGUUUAUUUUAAUUGCUAGAGUGGACUCUAAGUUAUUAUUGUAGACAAUCUAUUGCUAAGUUUGAUAUCAAAACCGGAGUUUUGGUAUAUGAACUUGUGAAGCAACUGAGUUUAAUAAUUGUGACGGAUCUACGUUAUUAAUCUUAAGGAGAACAUUCAAUCAAAUCAAACAUAGACUGCGGACAGUUAUGUUUUCUUGAUUAAUCAACUUAUCUAGUUCUUAAGGCUGCCGUUGAAUUAAAUUACUAGUGCGGACACUGUGGUUGUUUGAUGGUUAGGGUUAGUUAUACAGCGGAUCCGUUAACUAACCAAUGUUAAGAAGAGAUAAAUAUUCAGAAUAUAAAUUGAUGUUUCGUUUCCAUGACCAGUUCUGUUUUGUAUAGGUGGAUGUGUGCUUGCAACCAAGGUUUGUUCUCUUGAUAAUUUUCUGAUUUUAUUAAAUUUCGUUUGAUAGUUUUCUGCUUUCUUUUGCUUUAGCCUAGAUAACGUCCAACCCCCCCCAAAAAUUGCAUAUCAUUUAGCAUAAAAAUCUAACUCGAAUCUUCCUCGUGGGAUCGACCCCUUGCUUGCUCUAUACUAUCUUGUGUGUUCUGUUUGAAGCUAGGGUAAUUAAUUUGUGCGACCGCGACAUCGCAAUAGAGCUGCAAGCCUGCAAGUUCAAAACAAAUGGGUCAACAGAGGGAAGAAUCGAUGCCACUGUUAUAGUAAAGCUCUCCUACAAGUUCAACAGAGGGAAGAAUCUUUAAAACAGAGGAUAUGCCACUAUUAUAGAAAAGAGAGAGCGAAAGAAGAAAGAAACAAGUAACAACAACUCAUCUAACCUUAUUCUCAUAUUUGAAACAAUGAUCAAGGAUUCAAGAGUCUUCUGCUCCUCUACUCUUCUUCGCGACUGAAAUGGGUUUAAAGAUUUCUUGAAUUAGCUUUGAAAUUAAUUAGGUCUUCUGCACUGCGUUCGUGACUUCGUUCCUCUGCUCUUCUCAUUUUGGCCUUUUAAUUGUAAAAGGCCAAAACGACGUCGUUUCGGUCAUGAAUAUAUAUAUAAAAAAUAAACUCGGGUCUCAACCGGCCCGGAUCAACCCUCUGGGUCGACUGGGUCAAUUCCCAACCUGUUUUUUUCUUAGACUCGUGUCGGCCAGGUCCCGGGUCGAUCCACCAGGCCGGACCGGGUUUUAAAACUAUACAUUUUGCACCUCGUUUAUGAAACCCUAAAUUCCUUAAAAUUUCACAGGGGCAUUUCCGUCAAAAGAUAAAAACUUAAAAUUAAAAAAAAAAUUAAAAAAAAAAUAAAAAGAAGGGAGCCUACAUCUAGCUGGUCAUGUCAGGUUAGGGAGGAGAGAAAGAAAAACUUGCUCAAAUAGAUGAUAGAUUCGGUCAGUUGGCAAUAAUUGCCAGGCUGUACACAUCUCUCCGUGUUCAAUAGCACCUUUUGUUUUGUUUUCUUCUCUUUCAACCAGUAUCUCCCCCUCCAUCCUUGUACUCUCCUGAAAUAAUCUAUCUCCAUCUUGUCUCUCUAUUUCCACUCUGCUACUGCAACCACCCCAAUGCAGUGUGCGCAUCGCGCACCCUCUCUCUUCUUCACUCUACACACAUUACCCCCAUGUACUCCACCAGCCUGUUUCUGCUAACCCCUGGCUUCCCUCCUCCUCCUCUGCUUCUUCUUCAUCCUUCUUUUAACAAAUUUUAAAAAGCCUAAUUAAAACCACCCCCACCUUCUCCCUUUUGUGUUUGUGUAUUUCUUUCGUGAAAGUGAAAGGCGAAGGGCAGAAGAAUAAUGGAUCCUUGCCCUUUCGUGCGCUUAACAGUAGGAAAUCUGGCUUUAAAAAUCCCUGUCGCUUCAAAACCUGCACGCUCUGUGGUUCACCCAUCAUCUUCUCCCUGUUUUUGCAAAAUCAAGCUCAAAAACUUCCCUCUUCAAACGGCUGUCAUUCCUUACAUUCCAUCUCAAUUUCCUGAAGGUCAGCUCCAAACUCCAGCUGCCACUUUCCACCUAAGCAAGUCUGAUCUCGACCGGCUCGUUGCCAAAUCUAUUUUCACCAACAAACUCCAACUCAAAAUCUCUCUCUAUACUGGCCGCCUCGGCACUACUUGUGGAGUUAACUCUGGGAGGUUGUUAGGGAAAGUUUCUGUACCUUUGGAUCUGGCGGGAACGGAAUCUAGAGGUGUUACGUUUCAUAAUGGAUGGAUUUCUAUUGGAAAAGAGAGUGUAAAGAGUUCCUCUGCUGUAUUUCAUUUGAAUGUUAAAGCUGAGCCUGAUCCAAGGUUUGUUUUUCAAUUUGACGGAGAACCUGAGUGCAGUCCCCAAGUGUUUCAGAUCCGAGGCAAUAUCAGGCAACCUGUUUUUACUUGCAAAUUCAGCCUUAGAACCACCGGCGGUGGUGACCGCAAUCGGAGAUCCAUGUUAGUUUGUUUUAGGGUUUUAACCUUCUUGCUUUUUAAUUUUAGUAAAAUCAAGCAUUAAUUUUUUUUUUUAAAUAGAGUAAAGCGCUGCAUUUGUUAAUCUCUUAAUCCAACUUGUUUUUAUUAAAAAGAGACUAAUACAAGUUAAUCAUGUUUUUUUAGGUGAUUAAAAACUUAAUUAUAUAUCUUUUUGGAGAUUAUUAUCCCAUCUUAUUUCGUGCUAUGUUGCUAAUUAAUUUGGAGUUACUUGUUUCUGGUUUUGCCCAGAUCAUUGCAAGAGGAGCCCAGCAGCUCAAGGAGCUGGCUAAGUUCAUUUGGUAGCGAAAUAGAGAGACCACUGAAAGAAAGAAAAGGCUGGUCAAUAACAGUCCAUGAUUUAUCCGGCUCACCAGUUGCCGCAGCUUCAAUGGUUACUCCAUUCGUACCUUCACCUGGUUCAGACAGAGUAAGCCGCUCGAACCCUGGUUCAUGGCUCAUCCUCCGCCCUGGAGCUGGUACCUGGAAACCAUGGGGCCGGCUGGAGUCUUGGCGCGAGCGCGGCUCGUCUGAUGGACUUGGCUACCGUUUUGAACUAAUCCCUGACACAAACGGCACUUUGAGCGCAGCCAGUAUUGUAUUAGCCGAGAGCACACUAAGUUCGCACAAAGGAGGCAAGUUUGUAAUUGAUUUAGGAGCCUGCUCAAACGGACGAACCACGCCGGCAAAUUCGGCUUCUCCUGUGUGUAGCCCAAGGGGUGGUGGCGAUCACGGUUAUGGAUUGUGGCCUAAUUGUAUGCACAGAGGGUUUGUAAUGUCGGCUAGCGUGGAAGGAGAAGGGAAGUGCAGUAAACCUGGCGUGGAAGUUGGUGUGCAGCACGUCAAUUGUACUGAAGAUGCAGCUGCUUUCGUGGCAUUAGCUGCUGCCGUUGAUUUGAGUAUGGAUGCUUGUAAGCUCUUCUCGCAACGGUUAAGAAAAGAGCUCUGUCAAGAUCAGGAUAUGCUUGGCUGACAGGGGUGAUGAUUCUGGUUUUUUUGUUUUUUUUUGGCGGGGGGAGGGGGGCGCUUUUACGUUGUCGUUUUGUGAUAAUUAAUUUUUUUCGGGUGGAUGGAUCUUAAUAUUUUCCUGCUACCAAGUACAAACAAAUAACUGACUGUGUACAGGGAGCUAGAUUAGACAGGCACGCUUUGUUUUAAUUUGGGUGGCUCGUUUUUAUUUGUUUUUAAGAAAAAAGCGUUAUGAAGGUGAUGUUUUAUAUCUUUGAUGUUUCUGUGAUAUUGGUUUUUUUUUUUGAAAUUAAUAUUUUUUUAUUUUAUUAGAUGAAUUUGAUGUGUUAAUACUAAAAAUAAAUUUUUAAAAAAUAAAAAUAUAUUAAUUUAAUGUAUUUUUAAAUAAAAAAUAUCUUAAAAAUAAUUGAUAUACUAAACAGGGUUUUAUACGGUUGAUUAACUGUAUUUUUAAUUUUAAGUUAUCUUUUUGUGAGUUUUUGUAUUAUUUUAAAAUAAUAGAGUUAAAAAUAAAUUUUAAAAAUAAAAGAAAAUAUUAUUUGUAAAACAGGACAAUUACAUGUGAAAUUUCUUCUGCAGAAAUAAUUUUAGUAAUUGUUUUUAAAAUAAAGAUAAUGUUUGUUUAUUUGUAAGAGAUAAUAUUUUAAAAAUAAAUAAAUAUUAGUUUUAAUCUAGUGAUAUAAAUAAUAUUUAUUUAAAUAUAAAAGUUAUUUUAAAUUUAACAAAUAAAUCAAUUCAUUGUUAAUGGAUAUACAGCUAAGCAUGCGUUAAAAAUAAAAAUAAAAAUUCAAUUUCACGCGCCAUGAAUAUAUAUUUUUACAAUAUUAUCAUUGAUUAUUUUAAAGAAAGAGAAAAAAAUAAAAUAUAAAAAGAGCACUUCAUUGGAAAUCAAAUUAAUUUCCAACAUAAAAUCUUUGGUGCUAUUGACAAAGAAUAUUUAUUUUUAAAAUUCAAAAUUUGAAAGAUUAUUUUUGAAAGUUAGAGAUGAGAUAUGGAGGUUGGUGCGGGGGAGCAGGUACGGGAAGUGCUGGGCGUGCACGCAAGGACUCAAUGAAAAAGAGCAACAAAAGAAAGAGAGAGAGAAGUGGAUGGUAGCUGUAAUGCGCUUUUGAGUUAUAUAAUAAAUUUGGCUUUGGUAUGAAUGAAGUGUGGAGCUGCUGCUUAUUACUGCUAUUAAUUAUUAGGAGCGUUUAUCUGACUUGUGCAGCAAAUAGCUUAUUUUAUAAUCUUAAGUUUUCCUUUAUGGAAAGAUCGGAUCCCACUGUCGAAGACUGUUUCUGGGGACCGACGACCAUUCAUGGCAUGGCUAGAGGUGAUUCUGAAGGUGAGCUCAAGUGGUCCGGAAACGAUUUCAUAAUCCGGCCCGUGUUGGGACUCCUCUUUCUGAAAUGAGGAGUCACGUUCACGUCUUCAGGGCUGACCUGAAACUGUCACAGCUAGCUUUUGUUGGAAAAUGAGGUCUGAGGAACAUUGUGCUUUGUAGGGUUGGCUUGUGGUGUCUUACUGUUACACAUGACAUGCUAACAAGAGGGGACCCAAGUUAAACACUGCUAUGCUAGCAUGAGAGAUUAAAUAGCUGGAGCUUCUGCUGCCUAUCCAGUAAAAAGUACGAGGAAUGGGCCUUUUUCUUCUUUUUAUCUCUCAAAUUUACAUUUAAUUUGAUCAGCGUGAAGUGACUGAAUCACGGGGACGCCUUGCAGCCAGAUUAUUAUUAUUAUUAUUAUUAUUAUUAUAAUUCAUUUGCUUAUGACUUGCAGUGGUUGUCUGUCGACCGGUGAGCUUUUCGGGUGCGUUUGUUUUGCACCUAUUUGUGUGUUUACAGUAUAAAAGAUAUUUAGUAAUUAUAAAAACUGUGUUUUAUAGCAUAGAGCACAUUAAAAAAUUGAGUUUAAAAUGUAGUUUUUCUGAAGCAGUUUUUAUAUAUUUUUUUAAUUGAGUUUCAUAAAAUACCGUUUGUUUUUGUCUUUCAAAAGCGUUUUUGAAAAAAAUUGAUAAUUUUUUAUUUUUUUCUUUACUUCAAAUUAAUAUUUUUUUAGUAUUUUUAGAUCAUUUUGAUGCGCUAACAUCAAAAAUAAUUUUUAAAAAAUAAAAAUACAUUUUUUUAAUGCAUUUCCAAGUAAAAAUCACUUUGAAAAGCAACCACACAACUUUUAUACAUGUUUUUCGCGGCACAUAAAACCUCAACCAUAAUUUUUACCAAACACGUAUCUAAAUCCAACUAACCACACAUAACCAUAUUUUUUUUUAACUUAUUUUUUUUAAAUCACAACUAUAAAAACUACCUUAAAAACAAAUACUCUCUUUGCUGACCCGCAAACGAUACAACGUGAUUUCUUAGAAGAGAGUUUGCUCUGUUUGGUAUCGCGAUCGAGUAAAAUUUAAUUUUUUUAUUUAAAAUUUAUUUUUUAAUUUUUUUAAUUUUUUUGAUAUGUUGAUAUCAAAAAUAAUUUUUAAAAAAUAAAAAAAUAUAUUAUUUUGAUAUAUUUUCGAGUAGAAAAUACUUUAAAAAAAAAAAAACCUUCUCUUUUUUUUUUUUUUAAUCAUUAGAAUCAUGUUAGAAUGUACAAGUCAGUUGCCCAAGCUGGAUAUAAUUUUUUCAUAAUAUAAUUAAACCCAACCAAGCUCUAAUGGGGCAAUAUAAUGACCGCGUUGGGUUUUAAAGCAAAUUAAAUAGAAGUUUACCUAAUAAAACUCAACAACCUGGCAGAUACAUCCUAGUAAAAACCCAAGUUGCCUUAUAAAAAAAUUAAAAAUAUUAAUUUAAUAUUUUUUAUUUAUAAAUACAUUUAAUUAAAUUAUUUAUAAAAAUAGAUAUCUGUUGGAUGCGUUGGGCUGGAUUGUUUCCUAUCGUGAAAGGGGAGCGAAGUCAGAGCUAUUCUUUAAGUUAAAAAUGGACUUCCCAAACCUUAGAUACAAUGCCAAGUUUCUUUAAGUUGAAACCCACGUAGCUUGGGCUUCUUCCUUCAAUUCACAAAUCAAUUAAUCAGAAGUUUCGAGUAGUCUUCAAAAGAUAUUUAUAAAAAAGUUUGUCCGCCAUUUAUGGAUAUUUAUAAAUAAUAAUUUAAUUAAUUCCAUCUAUAUCCUUUCUUUAGACCUUUCAUGUUUUCGAGGAAUUUUUUUCCUAGAUUCUAACACCUGUUUCUACCAACUUUAAACCAUGCCAUAUCAAAUUACCUUAUACUACAUUUCACCAUUAUUCUUUCAUCAUUUAUUUUUUCAUCUGCUUUUUUAUUCUUAUUUUUGUGUUUUUUGUUUUUCAGCUAUUUUUUGUAAUUUAAUUUUUUUAAAAAAAUCAUCCAUACAUACACAUUUUAUUCUAAUUUUUCAUAUCUAUCAUCAUCCUGAUGAGUUAAAUAUUCAAUUUAUUUAGUAUAAGUUUUCCCUUGUUAAUUUUAUUAAAAAAAAUCCAAUGAUUUACACAAACACUGCUUCAAUAAAGACUUGCACCUUGUUGAUGAAUUGCUGGAAGAUUUAGUUGGGCAGGAGUGCCUAUAGUAACGGUUAGAUUCGACAUGCAUCCCGAUCCAUGUGUGUCUAUAUUGUAUGCUAUCGAAUAAUGUAAUAAUAUCAAAAAUAAAUUUUUGGUAAGAAAUUAAUGGCUUUUUUAUAUCAUCAUUUUCCCACAAAUAGCACCAAUGAUGAUAUCUUAAAAAACCUCAGGGUGCUUAGGAACAAGACUUAUAUGGGUGGAUAAAUUGGUUAAUCACUUGGCCGUAUAAUCUAUUCCAUUCUCUAUGGCUAUGAUGGCCAAAAUAGGUGUAGCUUGAUGUGGAAAGCUAAAAAUACCUGCAAAAGGUCAUUUAUGGUAGGUUAAAGGACUCUCAGAUGGUUAAGUAAAUAUUUUUAUAGUGAGAGAAAGAGUGCAAUGAUAUUAUAUAUAUAUAUAUAUAUAUAUAUAUAUAUAUAUUAAAAAGGGUUUUUAUGCUCGGCGUGUCCUUUAUAUGAAAAUCUGAGGCCAUGGGGCCAUUCCUUUGACUCGUACUGAUGAGAAUUUGACUCCACGAGAAAUUGAGCAAAAAGCAGCGGAAUUGGCUUAUUUUUUACGUGUACCUAUUGAAGUAUUUUGAAAUAAACCGAAGCAUUUUUCUUAGCAGGAGGUAAAAAAUGUCCAAUCAAUUUUUACCUCUUAUUCUAGUGUGUACUUUCGGAGGAGCAUGCAAGCAAGAAGGAAGUUUGUGCUUGAUGCAAAUGGCUAAAAUUUAUUCCGCUUUAUAUGAUUGUCAAUUGAAUAAAAAGUUAGUUUAUGUAUCAAUCCUUACAUCUCCUACGACUGGUGGGGUGACAACUAGUUUUGGUAUGUUGGGGGAUAUCAUUAUUGUUGAACCCAACGCCUACAUUGCAUUUGCAGGUAAAAGAGUAAUAGAACAAACAUUGAAUAAGACAGUACCUGAAGGUUCACAAGCGGCUGAAUUUUUAUUCCAUAAGGGCUUAUUCAAUCCAAUCGUACCACGUAAUCUGUUAAAGGAUGUAGAGUGUGAACCCUUUACCUACAAUGAAUAUUUAUAGCCCAUGAACUUUAUUUUUUUGCUGGAGUGGAGGGGCUGGAUAGUCAUUUUACCCUGAUAAAUUAAUCUUGAAUCAUGAAUUUAGACUUAGAGGAAUUAAAUUUCCCAAAUAUAGACUUGGAUGUCGGUUUGGAUGCUUGGAAAGUAAAUUGAACUCGUUUCUUCACAAAACCUGUCCACUGAUAGAAUUUAUAAGUCAUCUUAGAAAAAUCAUAUCUCUCUCUUGUGAGCUCAUUUUCUACUACAAUUUGGUAGGCUUAUAGGUCUUCAAGUCAGGAAUUCAACACAAGUAAGUUUGCAUCAAAUAGAUCUCUCUAACUCAAGAUAUUCAAGUUGGAAUGACCGAAGGUCAACACUGGCAAAAUACGAGAUCUGUCUUUGAAGGCUGCGAUUUCCAUGCUCUUUCUCUUUUUAUUUUUCUUGCCAUAUAUGUAUAAAACGAUAUGGAUAUUAGAUUUCUAAUGCCACUGGAAUCACUUCAUUUCUACCUCUAGAGCUCAAGCUCUGCACAAAACAUUGAUCAAAUGUCAAAUCUGCCUUUAAAUCAUAAAACAAAAAAUAUCAAGGCAUUUUAUACAUAAAAAAAAUACAAAAUACUAGGCAAAUGUGAGUAAAACUAUCAAAUAAUAUGAUUGCAUCAAUAUUCAAUUAAAUCGAACAUCGAUUGUAAACAAUUAUGUUAUCUAGAUUUAUCAAGCUAUCUAGUUCUCAAGGUUGUCAUUGUAUUAAAUUACUAUUGCAAAUACUAUGAUUAUUUAAUUAUUAGGGUUAGUUACAUUAUGUAUUGGUUAAUUGACUAAUGUUAAGGAAAGAUAAAUAUUCAGAAUAUAAAAUAAUAUAUCGUUUCAAUGAUGAGUUUUAAUUUAUGUAAGUAGAUAUUUACUUGAGACCAAGAUUUUUCUCUUGAUUAGUCUCAAAUUUAUUUAAUUUAACUUGAUUAUUUUAUUCUAUUUAUCAUAGCAUAACCUAGACAACCUCAAACUUUGAAUCAUCUAGCAUAAAGACUUACACUAGAUCUUCCUUGUGAGAUCGUCCCUUUCUUACUCUAUACUAUCUUAUUUGUUUAAGUUGGGGUAAUUAAUUUGUAUAACUGUGAAAUCAUAAUAAAAGUCCACAAGUCAAAAGAAAAUAAAUAACAAAAUUCGUAAACUUGUCCGAACUUAUAUCGUGAGUCCUUCUCAAAUUUCGAUUCACCUAAAAGUUUUCCCCAACAUAGAAAAAUACAUCUGGAAUAUUUUGAUAAAAUUUCAGCUUGAUCCAACGGUUUGAUUUAAAGUUAUAUUCAAUAACGUAAAACUAGAUAAUAGAACAUUUUACGUUAAAAUCCAAAUCUAACCUUACUUGGAUCAUAUCACGACAUCUAUAAUAACUUUUUAGUCAAACCUAGUUUUAACCAAGUCAACCAAAUAAUAAUUGACCCCUUCAAAUUAACCGGUCAUAUUAAUUUAAGUUCUACAUGAUUAAGCCAAAUCAAAUGGCAUCAAAUGGCCUCCAAGUUGAUCUGCACAAUUUAAUAAGAUAAAAAAAUUUUAAUUAGACAAAUAUUUUUUGAAUCUUAUUUUAAAAUGUCCAAGAAUUUUUUGUAUGAUUGUUGUGAUUUUUUUAUAUAUUAAAUGAAUGAUACAUAACAGCAAAUAAUAUUUUUUAUUUUUAUAGAUAAGAGAUAUAAAUAAAAGAAGAUGUUAUACUAGCAAUUUGAAAUUAUUGCUCUUUUAAAAAUUAAAAAAAAAAUUCACCAUAUUAAUAAACAAGACUUUGAUAAAUCUUUAGAUCAGAUCUUGAUGUAUGUCAUUUUAUAAUUUUUUUUUUAUCAAACCGCUUCCUAGCACAGGCCAGUAACUAGUUUAAACUAAACAAUUCCAAUCUCUCAAGUAUGUUACAAUAUGUAUAAUCAAUCAUACAUGCUUUCAGUGCUGAAGAGUUCCCCUCAACGACGACAAAGACAACAGCAAAACGAACAAGAGAGUUACAGAGACACUGUCAAAGAGAAACAGCGUCGAUUCCAUUAUUUACAAAAAUCCAACUUUAUUUUGCCUUUGCAGCAGAUGCAGUGAAAGCAGAAAACAGUCUACAAAUCUCUUUUUAUUCCGGGAGAAAUUAAGACAACAAACACGAACUUAAACGCAAGGCUGCAAAUAACUGGCAAGAAAAGCAUAAGAGAGGAAUCAUAGAAUAGAGCAAGAGGAAGAAGAUCCAGCACCAUUUCCUUUGGGGUUAUUGGGAUCGACACCAGGCCAUUCACGGCAGAGACAGUGUUGCCCCUCAGGGAUGCCCCUAUAAACGGAAGGAACAUGCCUGCCACAACCACCCCAGGUGGUCUUGCCGCACGUUGAGCAUCUCUCCCUGUAACACAUCUUUCGGCUCUGAGAGUACUGUUGAUUGUUUCUUUUUAUGUUUUCUUCUCUCUUCGCCUCUUUAAUGAUUGAAUGGCGACGACAGA